rnacentral:rRNA from 1 species
UACGAAGGGGGCUAGCGUUGCUCGGAAUCACUGGGCGUAAAGCGCACGUAGGCGGCUUUCUAAGUCAGGGGUGAAAUCCUGGAGCUCAACUCCAGAACUGCCUUUGAUACUGGGAAGCUUGAGUCCGGAAGAGGUGAGUGGAACUGCGAGUGUAGAGGUGAAAUUCGUAGAUAUUCGCAAGAACACCAGUGGCGAAGGCGGCUCACUGGUCCGGUACUGACGCUGAGGUGCGAAAGCGUGGGGAGCGAACGGG